UACAGAGGUCUCGAGCGUUGUUCGGAUUCAUUGGGCGUAAAGGGUGCGUAGGUGGCACUGUAAGUCGGGUGUGAAAUCCUGAGGCUUAACCUCGGAACUGCAUUCGAUACUGCGGUGCUCGAGGACUGGAGAGGAGACUGGAAUUCAUGGUGUAGCAGUGAAAUGCGUAGAGAUCAUGAGGAAGACCAGUGGCGAAGGCGGGUCUCUGGACAGUUCCUGACACUGAGGCACGAAGGCCAGGGGAGCAAACGGG
rnacentral:rRNA from 1 species